ACGCACGCUGGCGGCGUGCCUAAUACAUGCAAGUAGAACGCACAGUUUAUACCGUAGCUUGCUACACCAUAGACUGUGAGUUGCGAACGGGUGAGUAACGCGUAGGUAACCUGCCUGGUAGCGGGGGAUAACUAUUGGAAACGAUAGCUAAUACCGCAUAAUAUUGAUUAUUGCAUGAUAAUUGAUUGAAAGAUGCUAUUGCAUCACUACCAGAUGGACCUGCGUUGUAUUAGCUAGUAGGUGAGGUAACGGCUCACCUAGGCGACGAUACAUAGCCGACCUGAGAGGGUGAUCGGCCACACUGGGACUGAGACACGGCCCAGACGCCUACGGGAGGCAGCAGUAGGGAAUCUUCGGCAAUGGACGAAAGUCUGACCGAGCAACGCCGCGUGAGUGAAGAAGGUUUUCGGAUCGUAAAGCUCUGUUGUAAGAGAAGAACGGGUGUGAGAGUGGAAAGUUCACACUGUGACGGUAUCUUACCAGAAAGGGACGGCUAACUACGUG
rnacentral:rRNA from 1 species